rnacentral:rRNA from 1 species
UACGGAGGGUGCAAGCGUUAUCCGGAUUCACUGGGUUUAAAGGGUGCGUAGGUGGGUCUGUAAGUCCGUGGUGAAAUCUCCGAGCUUAACUUGGAAACUGCCAUGGAUACUAUAGGUCUUGAAUAUUGUGGAGGUCAGCGGAAUAUGUCAUGUAGCGGUGAAAAUGCUUAGAUAUGACAUAGAACACCAAUUGCGAAGGCAGCUGGCUACGCAUAUAUUGACACUGAGGCACGAAAGCGUGGGGAUCAAACAGG